rnacentral:rRNA from 1 species
GCCCAGCCGUAAACUUUUACUUACAUCUAAAUCGCCAGGGAACUACGAGCUAAGCUUAAAACCCAAAGGACUUGACGGUACCCCACAUCCUACUAGAGGAGCCUGUUCUGUAAUCGAUAAUCCGCGUUUAACCUCACCAUCUUUAGUUAAUCAGCCUGUAUACCUCCGUCGUCAGCUUACCACGUGAGCGCAAAUUAGUGGGCCCAAUGUUAUUACACCAAUACGUCAGGUCAAGGUGCAGCAAAUAAGAUGGGAAGAGAUGGGCUACACUUUCUAUUUUAGAAAAAACGGAAAACUACCUAUGAAACCUAGUUGGAAGGCGGAUUUAGCAGUAAAAAGGAAUCAACACGUCCAUUUUAACUUGGCACUGGGGUGUGU